rnacentral:misc_RNA from 1 species
AGCAGCCGCGGUAAUUCCAGCUCCAAUAGCGUAUAUUAAAGUUGUUGCAGUUAAAAAGCUCGUAGUUGAAUUUCGGGAUCAAUUAAUUGGUCGUGCCUCUGGUACGUACUGAUUUUAUUGGUUUCUCCCUUCUGACGAACCAUGAUGUCAUUAAUUUGAUGUCGUGGAGAAUCAGGACUGUUACUUUGAAAAAAUUAGAGUGUUUAAAGCAAGCUAACGCUUGAAUACAUUAGCAUGGAAUAAUGAAAUAGGACGUUUGAUCCUAUUUUGUUGGUUUCUAGGAUCGACGUAAUGAUUAAUAGGGAUAGUUGGGGGCAUUAGUAUUCAAUUGUCAGAGGUGAAAAUUCGUUGGAUUUAUUGAAGACUAACUACUGCGAAAGCCUUUGCCAAGGAUGUUUUCAUUAAUCAAGACGAAAGUUAGGGGAUCGAAGACGAUCAGAUACCGUCGUAGUCUUAACCAUAAACUAUGCCGACUAGGGAUCGGAUGAUGUUAAUUUUUUAAUGUACUCAUUCGGCGUCC